ensembl:snoRNA Gm25215 predicted gene, 25215
CUGCACACACGAUGGUUGUUUUCUUCUCUUACUGUUAGAUUAUAGUGGCUAUGCUUAUGGGAUGGGUUAAAGCUGCCAUGACAUGAAGAGAGAGGGCUUUCCAGUGUCUCUGUUAAAUGGCUGAACUUAACACU